CCCCUCCUGCAUAGCGGCAGGUCGAGGUGGUCGUGGCCGACCGCGCGCUCGCCGGUGCUGCCCGUGAGUGCUCCAUCGGCGACUUCCACCUUCUCCCUCUCCCUCCCCCUACUGCCGGCCUCUCCCUUGGUGGCGGCCAGAUCUACCAUGGCUACGGCCACGGACACGGACGGGGCUUCUGGAUCCGCGCCGCCGUCGAGCUGGGUCUCGACGGUCGCCGCCUUCUCCACAACCGGCGCCACACCCUUCGGUGGAUCGAUCCGGCACCAGGAACCGUGAACACCUGGCCCUUCUACCCCGCCGCCGGCGCCGCUUCCUCGUGAGAUCCCGACCAUGGUCCGUUGUGGAUGUUGUUUGUUCUGUUUGUCGAGGCUUCGGUCAGCCCGCUGUCUGCUGCCGUGUCGAGAGGUUGCAAGGUUCCUGGUUGCGCGGAAAUGAUCCAUGAUCUGGUGGCGGGAAGCGGCUCCAUAUUGGUGAUUGGACCUCCUGGUGUAGGCAAGACUACUCUGAUCAGGUACACAUCACCUACACCCCAGUUCUUU